CUCCCAAAUGGUGCCCAGCAUUGUUCAUCACCUCCUUUACCCCCAAUCGAUCCCAACUCUCCUGAAACUCAGGAGAAUUCACUCACACACGGGCCCCAUCUCACCACGUCACCAAGAUUCUAACUGCUUCUGACAAAUUUCCUCUCCUAUGUGCUAGACGCGUUUGGGAAUUUCUGAAGGAUGAAUUCCAUAAAAUGGGAGUCGUGGAUUGAUUUUGGGAUCAAUCAUUUCCUUCCACCUGUCCGGAUUCGUUCUAAAAAGGAUUUUUUUCGGAGUUCUUGAAGAAAAGAAGAGAAACUUCGAGAGAGGGGUAUAUAUACCUAGGUCUGGUUUCAAGUUGAGGGGGUGGGAUUUUUUAAGGCAGAGGUCAUUUGAGAAAAUUAGGGUUCUAGACAAAGUUUCUCUUCUUCUCUUUUGUUCAUCUGCAUUUUUCUUUGUUUAAUUCCACUCACAAUGCAAAAAAUACAAAAAACAAUUGUUUCAUUUAGUUUGAUAUUAGCAUCUUUGUUCUCUUCAUCUUUAAAUUCAGAAAUUUCACGUUUAUUAUGGGUUUGGACUGAGUUCGAGAGCCGAGGUUUGUUCGAAGGUCAUGAUUUGCGAUUCCGAGAUUAAUUUGUUGUUUUUGUACGUAUCAAUUUUUAGCAGAUUGAAGAAAGAUCAUUACAGGUUCGUUUCUUUCCUUCGCUACUUUUCUGGUGUGCAAAAUAUGAUGAAAGCUUAUAAAUAAAUGUUUGAGUUUGAGAUUUAAUAGACGCAUUUAUUUUCGAGUCUCGAAUGGUGUCGACUCUGGAUUUUGAUCGAGCUCUGUUUCAUCUUUGUGCUUAAAGCAUUUUUUGAGUUUGGAUUUACUUAUUUUGAAUGUGUUCAAUUAAAUUCCAGCUUGAUUUUUGAUUCCAUAAGUCUCUUAGAGUAAUCUUAGUGUCAUUUUUAGGCUUAAACUUACUCAAAACAUGCUUACUUCAAGUUUGAGGUCAUUGUAUGAAGGUUCAGUGAUUACUCGUUAUGGUCUCAUGAACAUCUCUGUGUGUUUGGUUAAAUUUGAGCUUUAAAAAUGAAAUCGGAAAUCAUCUUUUGAGUUCCUUGUUUAUUUCUAUAUGAACUAGCAUCGAGUCUUAUCUUCGAGUAUAUAUUAGUGUCAAGUUGUUCUUUACCUCACAUGUUCAGGAACAAGUUUUUGGGGAAUCCUUUUCUUGUUGGGGUUUGAAUUUGAAAUGAGUGCUGAAAUCAUCUUUGGUUCUUCUUUGAAAUGCUGGGAAUUUGAAAUCAUCCGAGGUUUGAAUUUGAAAUGCUGGGAAUCCUUUCUUUCUUCUUUUUUCUUCUAUUUUGUUUUUUCUGUUAAGAUAUGCUAGUAAUUUAACUAAAAAUUAGUUUGAAUUCGUGUCAGUUUCAUGCUAGGUCUGUUCAUUUCUUAAUGAUUCGAGUCUGAAACUAUCCUAAUUCAUCUAUCGAUUAAAAUCUAUUUGUGCUUAUUUGACAUGGUUUGAAUUGUUUGUGACUUUCAUCCUUAAGGAUUUCAAAAGGAUAAGCUAAGGUGUUCCAGUAGUCUAUCCUCCUUCAUUUAAUUAGUCUUUUAAAGUCAGUUGUUGGCAAGACAUAACUAGUAUUUGGAAACUAGAUCAUGUUCAUGUUUGAGUCCCUGCGGGUUAGGUUCAUGUUUUGAUUUCCAAACUUCUGUUAAUUGUCAUGUUUAGAAUUAACUGUUGCUAGAAUUAUUUGGAAGAUCGAUGUUGUAGUUGAAUGGAAAAUGAGUAUCUGUUGUUGGAUUGAGUUGGUUGAAGUUAAGUCAUAAUUGGUCUGAUUGCCUAAGUCUACUGGUGUUUCGAUCCUCUCUGUCAUACCCUUGCACUAAUUUAUACCAGUUUUUAUCUACAAAUGAAAGAUAAUUUUAAGAAGUCAUGUACUUGAUGCAUAUUUGAUCUUUCCAGUUGUGUGGUCGAAUUUAAGUGCCAAUUGAAUUCUAAAAUUGUUCUUUAGUAUUCAUUGAUUGUUGUCAAUCUGUUCGGUUCGUUUUGGCAGUUAGAAUUGUUACAAUCCCUUGUUAAGCUUUAAUUGGCUCGUACUUUAAAAUAGUUAGUCAAGCAAACCAUAUAUUCUGGCUAGUUUGUCUCAAAAAAUUAUUUGGUAUUCUUGGGUAAUGCUAGGGUUGCCGAGAAACUUGCCUCAUUAAAUUGGAAUGCACAUGAACUUGGUUUAAUUUUGAAAUCUUUCUCAAUUUGGAGAAUGUGUCUUUGCUAAGAAUAACUUUGUGUUGAUUGAUUCAAUGACUUGUUAUAAGGAUUGACUCAUUUCUUCAUAUUUCCAUCUUAAUUGAGUUUGGUACAGAGGCAUACGGUUGAACAUAUGGUUCCAUUAUUAUAGUUUCAUUCAUUUGCUUAAUCUGUUAGCGCUAAAGAAACUACAGAUUGUGCUCUUUUUUUGUUGGCAUGCUUGUGAUUUAAAAUGUUGGGUGUGGUGUUUAGUGUAAAAUGAUUGUUUAGUUUGUUGAUUCAGUUAAUUCUUGGCAGCAGAAUGUAGGACGCUUGAGGAAAAGAACCAAAUCUGAGGCUGAUUACAUAAUAUGUCCUUAAAUAUAGAAACAGGUUGAGAUUUUUUGACUGUCUGAAACUUUCGCAAUCAACUUGUGAUGAAUGAAUGGUGAAAAAUAAACUAUCGUGGUUGUGUACACGUUCGCGUGACAUAAUUACGAUCUUAAAAAUAAAAUCGGAGUAUGCGUUCAUGCAACUUCAACCGAAAUUUCUUAAUAAUAACAUAACGUUAUUAAUUGUGGACACGUUCGCGUGACUUGAUUUUUGAUGCGCCAAACAAAUGGGUACACGUACGCGUGACUCGUUUUUUUAGGAUAAUUUCUUAAUGAAAAGAGGUGAAAGCACAUAGGUUCUAAAAAGGGUAAUUAGACAAUUUGAUUAAGCCAAGUAUGAUCAAAGCGACCGUGCUAGAACUAAGAAGCCCAAAAAUGCCUAACACCUUCUCUCGGGUUAACAUAAUUACUUACACGGAUUUCUGUGUUCGCGGACCAUAAAUAAGAGUCAACUUCCUCGAUUCGGAAUUUUAUAUCGGUGACUUAGGACACCAUAAAUUAUCCCAAGUGGUGACUCGGGACACCAUAAAUUAUCCCAAGUGGUGACUCGGGACACCAUAAAUUAUCCCAAGUGGUGACUCUGAUUUUAAUAUAAAUAAUCCCGUUUUGAUUUUCACUUAAAUUGGAAAAAACUCCAUUAUACCCCUUUUCGGGGGUAGUAAAAAGGAGGUGUGACAGCUCUAGCAACUCCGGUGGGGAUAAGAACCCAGAAUCUCUGGUUCGGGGUUCAAUAAUUCGAGAUUUUUAAUAUGAUUUUAUUUGGAUUUAUUUAUAGUUAAUAUUACUGUAUUUUGUGAACAUUUUGUGCUAAUUGUUGUCUAUUUACCGUUUUGAUAUUAUUUGAAUUAUAUAUAACUGUCUUCUUACGCCACCCCUCCGAGUCUUCUGAAAAUGGUGAACACAUUCGCAUUGCCCACUUUUUCUAUAGAAAUUAUACCAAAUAGAACGAGGUUGGGCCAUCAACAAGGCCGGGUAGACUUUAGUGCUCCCGGUAUGUUGUCCCCUCUUCUGCUCGAGUUGUCCGCUCGGGUAAGCCAGGUCAAGAACACAACCCUAGGUUUAAACUUAGAAUAACACAGCCUCAUGUCGGAUCCCUAGUAGGAACGUUUGUUUGCAUCACGUGCAUUUGAUUUUGGGGACUCAACACAGGGAUUGGGCCCAUCUAGGACAGGUGUACACAAAAUAACAGACCAUCCUGAUGCAUCCUACGUGCUAUGUGAACAUUUAUUUGUUUUGGCUUGCAUGUUGACCGGCUAGGAAAAGUGAAUCAAGAGAAAAACCAAGAACGAUAUAGGAAAAAAUAAUGCCCGGCUCUAAAAAUCCCCGGUAAUUGGAAAUAUCCUGAAACUCUGCCAAAAUUUUCAAAAAAAGAGUCAAGGAAAAAGAGUCUUUUCAAAAUGAGUCAAUAAUAUGUCUCUUUCAAAUAUGUCAAAAUUGAUCGAACUACGCAGGUCUGAUUCUCACCGGAUGUGGGAUACAUAGGCAACCUACAUAAGGUUCAGCCUUACUUUUCAAAAAAGAAAAGAAAAAGAAGAAGAAGAGUAAAUAGUCAAAUAGAUGUAGUUUGGGUUCUGGUCAAAAGAGUAAGCCGACCCAGCUUCGGUUAUGUCUUAAGUCGUUCUUGUUGGGAUAGCCUUAGAGUAUCUUUCAGUUGUCGAAUAGCUAUUUUUCGUAAAGAACAGAUAAGUCUGUCGGUAAAGUGUCAUUUUUCCAUAAAGUACUUUUCCCCGUCCUCAAAAUUUAUUUGGAAUUGUGAAGGGGCCACGUUUGCAAAAAACGAUCACUUUUGCUAAAAGUAGCAUAGAGGGGAGGGGGUCAUGGUCCGUUGAUUUUUCUUUUAGAAAUUGAAAAACCUGUAUUACAAAAAGUCCACCAGAGUCAAACCUAACCUUAACCUUCCACAGGUACAAAUGAACAUUGUCCAAAAUUCGUCAGAGUUGGUCAUAGACCAGGCUCAGCUGCAGCUGCAUAUGUGGUGGAAUGAUCUAGAUGAAUAUGGUCGGGAUUGGGUAAAAGAGCAGUUGGGUGCCCUUAUAGACAUUCUGGAAGUCGAACCACGGAAAGAUCUAAUCAAGGCUUUGGUAACUUUUUGGGACCCCGUCCACAAUGUUUUUCGUUUCUUGGAUUUUGAGAUCACCUCUACUCUGGAGGAAAUGGCCGGGUAUAUUGAGUUUGGUCGGAACUUGAGGAAACAACAACUUAUAUUCCCAAGGGCUCCUUCUGUGCACAAGUUCUUUGACCUUCUGAAUAUCAGUAAGCAAAUGAAGAAGGCCCAUGUAAACAAAGGAUGUUGUUCUUUCUACUUCUUCUACUUCAGGUUUGGGUACUCAGUUGGGUUCGAAACGCAUGAAAAGGUUUUGAACAACAAACAAGAUAAGGGCAUCUGGCAAAUUCAUCGUCGGUUCGCUUUCAUUGUGGCGUUUUGGGGAUUAUGGUCUUUCUAAAUGUAAAAGGGACAACAGAUAUCCGUAUGGCCAUAAUUGCACAAAUCCUCACUACUAAGAAAGAUCAUACACUUGCUCUAUUAGUGCUAGCAGAUAUUUAUCGAGCAUUGACAUUAUGCAAGGUCGGGGCUCAAUUGUUUGAAGGUUGCAAUAUUAUUCUACAAAUAUGGUUGAUCGAGCAUCUCCGCCAUCACUCCAAAUUCAUGAGCUAUGGUUCAAGCACAGAUAAUUUCAUCAAGAGCUACGAGGAAAGGGUGAAAGACUACAAUGCUCCAGAAGGGUUUGAAGCCUAGGUCUCCCACUUGAAGGCUCUAAAAGCAAGUCAGGUCGAGUGGACUAUAGGAUGGCUCCCGAUGACAGAAGCCAUACACAUGACGGCUACCAAGGGUUAACUAACGUUGAUGGUUUAAGGUGUGUCCAGCCAUAUGCACCGCAGAGGGUCUUAAGGCAGUUAGGAAGAUAUUAGGUGGUGCUCGAAGAUGAAGAUCUAACCACCCAGGUCAUUGAGCUACACCCAGAAGCUACAUUGCCCAAGACUUUAGUUCAACAGGAUUGGAAUGGUUGCCGGUAUCUGAAAAAUAGCACCUAGGUACCAGAUGUCGCAAAGGGGGAAGUGGAUCCAUAUUACACUGCAUGGUUUGAGAAAAGGUCUUGAGCAAGAGCCCGAGCCUAAGCCCGAAAGACCUGCCAAGAGACCUCAUGUUCAAGCUUUUGAUGAUAAAGUCCAAUAAAGGUUGGCCUGGGGAUAAAAGGAGAAAAAAUAUCAAGCCACCAUUCACACCUUGGAAGAGAAAUUGAGAAACAUGGAAUUCAAUAAUGAUCUCCAGGCACAAGAAGCGGAAGGUGAAAGGAGGAGGUUGGCCAAAGAAAACAAAGCCCUUCGAGCCCAAAUCUGAAAAAUGAAAAUAGCAGCUGAGAACCCUGUCAGGAAUGAAAAGGAUAAGAAACUUAUAGAAAAGUUCAGGCUGAAAGCAGGUGGUUACGGUUUUGAGUUAGAGAAAACUGAAGCUGAACUAGCAAAGGCCCGAGCCAAGUUAGCUAAGAAUGCGGAGGGACGGGCAAGUUACAUUCGACAACUGAUGGAGAAGUACGACAAAGGAAUGGUGGGUCUAAAGAAAAGGUCAAUGUCCUUGAGAACGAAAUGACUAAGCAGGCAAAAGACUUCAAAGCAAAAAGGGAGCACUGCUAUGCCCUGAUGUCGCAAUUAGAAAAAGACCUGCAGUAGCUUCAAGAGCAAAAUCAUACAGCCGAACAAGUUUUGGGGGCAAGAUCACAGCAGAUCGGAUGGUUGCUACAAGAGAAGGGUAUUGUUAGGGAGAGGGUUAGGAGGAUUGCAGACUACAUUGUGAUGAAGUGUAAUGAAUGCGAGGACAUGACCAGGUCCAUGUUCUUCGCUUCAGUUAUGAUUUUUGUCCGGCAGAUCAUGGAUGACCUAUUUUGCCUCCAAGAAGAUAUGGCGCAUAAGCCUACAGCGAGACCGACUGAUGUCCCGCUAGCCCCUAGAGCAGCAGUUGAGGCUCUCAUGUAUUUCUGAUUUUAUUGUUCGAGUCUAUAUUUUUAGUUUCUUUUUGAGUUCGUUAGUCCACUUUCGAGUCUUUAUUUUCAUCUUUCUUUUGGAGUAUGUUAAUCCACCUUUCGAGUCUAUUAGUUUUUAUGUUUAAUUCUGUAGGAAAGUCAUUGUAAUCAGGAUGUUUUUGUUUUUAUUUUAUUUUAUGAAAAUUUGAAUACACCAAAAAAUGUAUCUUUCUUUUAUUUUGCAUUUAUUCCCUGAACUACGUAAUGAUCUGAUUCAUGUGGCAUCAUGAUAUGUAGGCAAUCCCCAUAGGAUUCGAUCAUAACCAUAAAAUUAAAAGAAAAAAAGGAGAGAAAAUAAAAGGAAAUUGAGGGAAAAGAAAUAAUGGCAAAACAAAAGAGAAAAGCGAGCGCAAAAUAAAAGGAAAGUAACAAAAACAAGUGGGAAAGGCCAAUAGUGAUUAAAGAGGGAUUGGAGUAAAAAAAGAAGAGAAAGUGUAAAAUGAGAAGAGUUAGUUAAAAGUCGGGAUGAAGCAUGCAGCCGUUCAAAUACACGAUAAAAGCUUUAACUGUUUAGGUGCAUUGCAUCCCAAAUGUGUGGUUGCCUAUGUGUUAAAUCUUAAACACUAACAAGUUGUUGUUGUCAUUGAGGACAGGAAGGUGGUUAGUUUGUUUGGCAUUCUGGCAACUCAUCCGUAAAAUACCAAGUCUAAAAACAAGUUGAUCAUGGCUGGACAGGAACUGGACACAAGUAUUAUUGAUCCACCAAGAGAGGUGGAGGAGUCUGAGGUUGGUUUAAAAGAGGAGUUACAUAAGUUGAAACACCAGAUGGCCAAAAUGUACCAGACAUGGAUGAAAGGGCAUCCACUAUCAUCAUACCCCACCAACCCUGCUUUUAUCCCGUCACUAGCUCAAUCUCAAGAACAUCCCAGUGUUGAUUCAUCCCCACAACAUGCACCAAGCUUCACCCCUUACCACCACUAUCAUGUCACCACUUCCCAAACCAUACAAGCUCCACCGGCCAAAACAACCCCAUACCCCCUCCAUUAGCUACCCCUAUUUUUGUAGCACCUCCACCAGCUACACUCCAUCGAUCUUCCAAUGAGCCAUUAUUCCAGACCCAAGAUAAUUAGUACUAUCCCCCAAAUCCUACUUUAAAGGCCCCAGAUCAUUACUCCUACACUCCUCGUUUCGACCUCCCUGUUGAGACUGAGAAACCACCUAAAAACCCGAAAUAGGAGGAGAUGUUUAGAAAGGUGAGAAGCCUGGAAUAAUCGCUCAGAAACAUGCAAGGGUUGGGAGGUCAAGUAAGUGUAGCCUACAAAGAUCUGUGUUUGUUCCCUGACGUACAACUACAUGUUGGGUUCAAAAUGCCCAAAUUUGACUUGUAUGACGGGCACGGAGAUCUCGUGGCCCACUUAAGGGGAUUCUGCAGUAAAAUGAGAGGAGCCGGUGGGAAAGAUGAGUUGUUAAUGGCAUACUUUAGCCAGAGUCUGAGUGGCGCGGUAUUGGAGAGGUACACUCGUCAGGAUCACAACAGAUGGUAUACCUAGGAUGAUUUGGCCCAACCAUUCGCUCGUCAUUUCCAAUACAACAUCGAGAUUGUUCCAGAUCAUUUGUCUUUGACUAAGAUUGAGAGGAAGCCUAUUGAAAGUUUCAGGUAAUAUGGUUUCCGCUGGAGAGAACAGGCAGUAAGGGUUAACCCUCCAAUGGAGGAGAACGAAAUGGUGGAAUACUUUCUUCAGGCCUUGGAGCCUACUUACUUUGGUCAUCUGAUCUGGGUCAUAGGUAAGUAUUUCAGUGAAGUAGUAAAAAUGGGAGGAAUGGUAGAGGAAGGGCUCAAAUCAAGCAAGAUCAUGAGCUACUCUGCCAUCAAAGCAACUACACAGGCAAUCCAAAAUGGCACCAGAGGCAUUCUUGGGAAAAAGAAGAAAGAGGAUGUCGCUAUGGUCGUUUCAGGAUCAUGGCACAGCCCGGGGGAUUCUCCUACCCACUACACCCAACCUCGACCCCAGCUUCAAACCUAUACCCCAACUCCAUAUAAUCCAUCCCAACACUACUUCCCUUCACCAGAGCCUCAGUACUCAGUCAGGCCACCCCAAUAUCAUGUCCAUCAUGCACAGUCAUAUACUCAACCCCUUCCUCACCCGCAAUGACGUGCUCUAGCUCCAUGAAACCCUUAACCACCUCCACAAACAUACCAAAACCCUACUGGUCCAAAUUUUUGGGCCAAGCCGGAAUGAAAGGUUGCAGCGAAAGAAAACUUUCACCCCGCUUGGGGAAUCUUAUACCAACCUAUUUCAAAGGUUGAGGCAGUUGGAUAUUCUGAGGUCAAUUGAGUCAAAACUACCAAACCCCCUCCUAAGAACCUGGAUUAUUCUCUCAGAUAUGCGUAUUGUUCUGAUACUCCGGGACAUAACACAGAAAAGUGUUGGCAUUUGAAGAACGCUAUCCAAGAGCUCAUUGAUACGAACCAGAUUGUGGUCUAGAGCCCAAAAGCACCCAACAUCAAUCAGAACCCAUUACCAGCAUAUGCUGAAAUGCACAUAAUUGAGAUAGUGCACAAAUAUGGGAAGCCCAAAAAGCCUUCACAAUCUGUCAUGAUGAUCCGGUCUAGUGUAAGUAAGUUAGUCAAGGACCCGGUUGUCAUGAAAGCAACCUCUUCAAUAGCUGAAGGAUCGGCAGACAAGUUGAGCAUGCCAAAUGAUAAGCCAACUGUGGUAGUUGAAAAGAGGUCCCCAAGUGAUGUUGUAGAGAAGAAAGAAAAGCCAAAGGUGAUCGUGCCAGAGGUAGCAAGUAAGCCGGUCAUAAUUGUGGAGGGUGCUCGCACGGACCCUAUCAUUAUCAAACUUGUGACCCAGCUACCGAUAGCUAACACCAAGACUAUUCCAUAGAACUAUGAGCGAGUGAUAGUGACCUAUAAGGGGAAGGAAGUGAAAGAGGAAGUUAACGAGGACCAGGAAUUAACUUGUUCGGGGAGAUGCUUUUCCCUGGAAGAGUUAAGGAAAGCUAAAACACACAGAGACAAUCCAAUUCUAGUGAAGAAUCUGGUCACUAAAGAAGAAGCGGAGGAGUUUUUGAGAAAAAUAAAGGUACAAGAUUACUCCAUCGUGGAACAGUUGAGAAAGACUCCUGCUCAAAUUUCCCUGUUAUCAUUGUUGAUCCAUUCAAAUGAGCACCGCCGGGCCCUAAUGAAGAUUCUGAACGAAGCUCAUGUCCCCGACAAAAUCACAAUGAACCAUUUGGAGAAGAUUGCCAAUAAUAUAUUUGAGUCUAACAAGAUCACAUUCUCGGAUGAUGAUUUGCCUCUGAAAGGUACAGAACACAAUCGGGCCCUCUAUCUCACAGUGAAACGCGAAGAUUUUAUGGUCAUAAGUGUGUUAGUUGACAAUGGUUCCAGCAAAAACAUCUGCCUUCUCUCUACACUGAACAAGUUAAAAGUUGAUGAUAAGAGGAUUCACAAGAACAACAUAUGUGUUCGAGGUUUUGAGGGGGGGAAGACUCUGUUGGCGACAUCAUGCUCUAGUUGACAAUAGGACCAAUCGAAUUCACUAUGGAGUUCCAGGUACUGGAUGUGGUUGUUUCUUACAAUUUCCUGUUGGGAAGGCCUUGGAUACAUGUUGCCAAGGCGGUUCUGUCUUCGUUACACCAGAUGGUAAAGUUCAAAUAGGAUAGACAAGAAAUCUUCGUGCAUGGUGAUGAAAACUUAUGUGCUUUCAAUGAUACAUCCAUCCCGUUUAUUGAAGCUGAAGAAGAUAAGGGGUCGUGGGUCUAUCAAGUUUCCGAAACAGUAUCGGUUGAAAAGAUUCCGGAAGGGGAAUACAUUCCAAGUCCAAGGCUAGCUUCUGCAAUUAUCAUAGUAGCAACUGAAAUGUUGAAAAGUGGUUUUGUGCUGGGCAAGGGUCUGGGUAUAACUCUGCAAAGUAUCGUGCAGCCAGUGUCUUUGCGUGAAAAUCUGGGUACAUUUGGUCAGGGGUUCAAAACUAUAGGGGAUGAUAUGAAGGAGUCUAGAAAGCUAAAAAAGAAGGCAUGGUCGCUCCCUAAGCCAGUCCUACGUCUCUCCAGGUUUUUCAUCAAGGCACAGGUCGUGAAACGUCCAGUGACAACAGUUCCAAAGCCUGUGGUUGAUUUUGAUAAGGAAUUGGUUAAAAGGUUCCAGAGUCUGUUUGAUAAGGUAAACAUGGUAGAAACUGGGGAAGGUUCUGGAAAAGCGGAUAUGCAGUUUAUUAGGUCAAAAGUAAAGCUUAACAAUUGGGAUGACACUCAUCUCCCUUCCCAGAAGGAGUUUUGGUAGUUUGCUUUAUUUUCCUUUCAGUUAUCUGGAUUAUUCCAGGAUUGUAAUUCAAAUUUUUAUUUUUCGUCUGUUUAAUGUACAAACCCUUCUAUCCUUUAUUUUUAAUGAAAUGCAAUUUCCCUUUUCCAUUACUCCUGAGAGUGUCAUUUUCUUUUCUUUCUUUGUACAGUUCUUUUUAUGCUGGUUUCAAUGACAUGACAUGCAUGAGGAAUCUUCAGCCAAGUCUUAAAAGUCAAUCUAACUCUGAAAUAAUAAUCCAAGAAAUAGAGUGUGAUGAUGAAAUAGAAUAUGAUGAAGAGGAAGCAUUUGAGGAAAUUAGUAAAGAGCUAAGUCACUUUGAAGAGAAACCCAAGCGUAAUUUGAAUGAAACUGAAGCAAUCAAUUUAGGGGAUCCAGAUAACAUCAAGGAAACCAAGAUAAGUGUACACUUAGAACCACAAAUCAGGGAGGAAAUAAUCAAAGCCCUGUUUGAAUAUAAAGACAUUUUUGUGUGGUCAUAUGACGACAUGCCAGGUCUAAGUACUAACUUGGUGGUUCAUAAACUGUCCACUGACCCGACAUUCCCUCCCGUCAAGCAAAAGUUAAGGAAGUUCAAAACUGAUAUGAGUGUGAAGAUCAAGGAAGAAAUCACAAAGCAGUUGGACGUAAAGGUCAUUUGAGUCACGUGAUACCCCACUUGGUUAGCUAAUGUUAUGCCAGUGCGAAAGAAGGACGGCAAGACCAGGGAGUGCGUUGAUUACCGAGAUCUCAACAAAGCAAAUCCAAAGGAUAUUUUUCCAUUGCCAAAUAUCCACAUUCUGAUUGACAACUGUUCCAAGUAUGAGAUUGGGUCUUUUGUGGAUUGCUAUGCGGGAUACCACCAGAUCUUGAUGGUGAGGAGGAUGCAGAAAAGACAACAUUCAUCACACCAUGGGGAACUUAUUGCUACCAGGUAAUGCCAUUUGGUUUGAAAAACAUUGGGGCAACUUACAUGAGGGCAAUGACUACUAUGUUCCAUGACAUGAUACACAAGGAGAUUGAAGUUUAUGUGGAUGAUGUGAUCGUAAAGUCAAAGCAACAGGCCGACCAUGUCAAAGAUUUGAGGAAGUUUUUCCAAAGAUGCCGCAUGUAAAAUCUUAAGCUUAACCCUGUCAAGUGUGCAUUUGGUGUUCCGUCUAGAAAAUUGUUGGGAUUCAUAGUUAGUCAUUGAGGCAUUGAGUUGGACUCGUCGAAGAUCAAAGCUAUCCAAGAAUUGCCACCUCCAAGGAGCAAGACUGAGGUAAUGAGUCUGCUCGGGCGUUUAAACUACGUCAGCAGGUUUAUUGCUCAACUCACAACAACUUGUGAGCCCAUCUUUAUGUUGUUGAAGAAGAAUGAUGCGGUACAAUGGACUGAUGAGUUCCAGGAGACAUUUGAUAAGAUAAAGGGGUACUUGUCAAGCCCACACAUGUUGGUCCCACCGAAACCCGGGAUACCUUUGAUUCUCUAUUUGACGGUCUUGGACAAUUUAUUUCGGUUGUGUGUUGGGUCAACAUGACAUCACUGGAAGGAAGGAGCAAACCUUCUAUUAUCUCAGAAAGAAGUUCACAUCCUAUGAGGUUAAGUACACUCCCCUUGAAAGGACGUGUUUCGCCCGGACUUAGGUGACACAAAAGUUGAAGCAUUAUUUGUCAUCCUACACUACUUACCUCAUUUCUCAUCUAGAUCCUCUAAAGUAUAUCUUUCAGAAACCUAUGCCCACAGGAAGACUUGCAAAGUGGCAAAUUUUGCUCACAGAGUUUGACAUUAUCUAUGUAACUCGAACCACGAUGAAAGCCCAAGCAUUGACCGAUCAUUUGGCUGAGAAUCCGGUGGAUGAAGAGUAUGAGCCAUUGAGGACUUAUUUUCCUGAUGAAGAGGUGAUGCAUAUUGAUGAGGUGGAACAGGAUGACAAGCUAGGUUGGAAACUUUUCUUUGAUUGCGCCGCUAACAUGAAGGGUGUCGAAAUAAGGGUUGUGCUCAUUUAUGAAACAGGGCAUCACUACCCUGUUACAGCCCAGCUUCGUUUCUAUUGUACCAACAACAUGGCUGAGUACGAGCCAUAUAUUUUGGGAUUGAGGUUAGCGGUAGAUAUGGGAGUCCAGGAAGUCUUGUUAUUGGGAGACUCCGAUCUUUUGGUGCACCAGAUUCAAGGAGAAUGGGAGACUCGGGAUUUAAAGCUCAUACCGUAUCGACAAUGUUUGCAUGAUCUUUUCCAACAGUUUCAAUCGAUAGAAUUCAGGCAUAUUCCAAGGAUCCAUAAUGAGGUUGACGAUGCUUUGGCUACCUUGGAAUCAAUGUUGCACCAUCCGGACAAAGCUUAUGUUGACCCUCUACAUAUUCAAGUUGGUGAUCAGCAUGCCUAUUGUAAUGUGGUUGAGGAAGAACUUGAUGGUGAACCGUGGUUCCAUGAUAUCAGGGAAUACAUCAGGAUAAGGGUAUAUUCGGUACAAGCCAUAGGUGAUCAAAAGAGAACAAUUCGAUAUUUGGCUAGUGGAUUUUUCUUGAGCGUGGGGAUCUUAUACAAGAGGACUCCAGAUCUUGGGUUGUUGAGAUACAUAGAUGCUAAACAAGCCACGACUAUCAUGACAGAAGUGCAUUCCAGGGUUUGCGGGCCACAUAUGAGUGGGUAUGUUCUGGCAAAGAAAAUUCUUCGAGCAGACUAUUACUGGCUCACCAUGGAACGGGAUUGCAUCAGUUUUGUGUGCAAGUGUCAUCAGUGCCAGGCACAUGGAGAUUUGAUUCAUUCUCCGCCAUCUGAGUAGCAUACAAUGUCCGGAACGUGGCCCUUUGUUGAUUGGGGCAUGGAUGUCAUUGGACCAAUUGAGCAUGAGGCAUCAAACGGGCACAGGUUCAUUUUGGUGGCCAUCGAUUAUUUCACUAAGUGGGUUGAAGCUAAGACUUUCAAAUCUGUGACCAAGAAGGCAGUGGUCGAUUUUGUUCAUUCAAAUAUCAUUUGUCGAUUCGGAAUCCUAAAGGUAAUCAUCACAGAUAAUGGUGCUAAGCUUAGCAGUCAUCUGAUGAAAGAAGUAUGCCAGCAAUUUAAGAUCAUCCAGCGAAAUUCCACUCCAUAUCGCUCCAAGGCAUAUAGAGUUGUUGAGGCGGCCAACAAGAACAUAAAGAAGAUACUUCGGAAAAUGGUGCAAGGUUCCAGGCAAUGGCAUGAAAAGUUGCCCUUUGCUUUGCUGGGUUAUCGCACUAUUGUUCGCACUUUAGUAGGUGCAACUCCUUAUUUGUUGGUAUAUGGUACUGAAGCAGUGAUACCCACGAAAGUAGAAAUUCCAUCUCUUCGGAUUGUUGCUGAAGCCGAAAUUGAUGAUGAUGAGUGGGUCAAAACCCGUUUGGAGUAAUUAAGUCUGAUUGACGAGAAAAGACUGGCGGCAGUGUGUCAUGGCCAGUUGUAUCAAAAGAUAAUGGCAAUAACAUACAAUAAGAAGGUGUGUCACCGAAAAUUUUAAGUGGGUUAGCAAGUAUAGAAACACAUCCUUCCACAUCAGGCUGAAGCGAAAGGCAAGUUCGNNNNNNNNNNNNNNNNAGAGAAGAAAAAAAAAGAAAGAAAAGAAUGGAAAAAAGUAUAAAAAAGAAAAGAAAAAAGAAAAGAAAAAAAGAGAGAAAGAAAAAGAAAAAGAGAAAAGUAACAACAACAAAGUAAUUCCUAUGUCAUGAACUACGUUCGACCUGAUUCCUUUUAAGGAUACGUAGGCAGCCUCACGGUUCGAUCCCAUCAAAAUAAAAAUUCAAAAGCCCCCAAGCAAAAAACUGGGGCAGAAGUUGCGGUUUUAUAAAAGAUCUGAUUCCAAAAGUUGUAAUUUUGAACCCAUUGAAGUGGUUUUGAGCCUUUAUGAUAUCCUUUCUUUCUAACCAUAUCCAAAAAUCUGCAUUACGGUCCAAAAAAAGACCUUCCGACCAAUAUUUAAGAGUGCCACGUCAAGCGAGAUAGAGGUAUGAUUCGCAUCAGGGGCAACACUCCGAGCUGCACAAGGAAAAUGAAUAAUGAGAGAGUCCUAUUGGUGAAAACUAUCUCGGGCACCGUAGGGCGAUAGAAAGAUGAGAGAAAUCGAAAUGAGAAAGUCUUAUCGGUAAAGACCUUCACGGGCACCGUAAGGCAACAGUGAGUUGAGAGAUGAACAAAUGAGAGAGGUUUGUUGGUGAAAACCUUCAAGGCGCCGCAAGCCGAACAAGGUUUGUGACUUUGCAAAGAGAUUGAAAUAUGGAAAUCCCGGGGCAUAAAGUAUGAUAACUGAAAGGUGAUUGGUUGAACAAGUUGGGCUGAUAAAUCCAAAAUGCAUGACAUGAUCAUUUGUGCCAGCUGCCUCACUCAGAUAAGUCUCUUUUUCUUUUCCCUCUCAAACAGUCAUCCUGUUUCGAAUUUUCUUCUUUAUUCCUAACUCUCGAAGUCAUUGCAUUUCAUUUCUUUUGGGUUUAUUUCUCUAAGGAUUUUCCAAUGUCAGACUUGUUUAAGCAAGUAAGGAAGGAUUUAAAGCUUUCUACCAACUUCCAAAUUGCACAAAGCAAAGUGCGGCCAAAACAUACCAGAAAUAGCAUGAUGCAAAAUGGAAAACAAGGUGUUACUAAAAGUUCCAUUGGUCGAGUGGUUUGUGAAUUUUGUGGAAAAUACAGAGGUUCAAAUUAGGAGAACUGAAAUAUGAAACAACAGGUUGAGUGUAGGGCACUUGAGUCAUUCAGGGCCUUGUGUUUGAGGUUCAGUCAGAAGGUCAAACAAUUCUUUGCUAGUACAUGGCAGUCAGUCAGAACAAAGCACAGCAGUGGAAAGGCCACCUUCAGCAAGAAUGCCACAAACUAACCACCACAUUUUCAAACUAAUAAAAUUUUCUUUGAUUGAAACAGGGGCAGGAAAUUUUGUUUAUUCCGGAAGAACACUCUGUGAGGAAAGCAUGUACCGGACAGGUUCAACCAUAAAUCUUCAGGACCCUCCUGGAUAACGGGGUUUAAUUUAAAAUUUUUAGGACCCUCCUAGAUAAUUGUAUUUGAUUUAAAGUUCUCAGGACCCUCCUAGAUAAUGGAACCUAGUUAAAUUUCAAAACCUUCAUAGAUAACAAGAUUUAACGUAAAUUCUACCUUUGAAAAAUAUAAUUUAGCUUUAAAGUUGUCACUCUUAAGAUGAGAUUUAAUUUGAAGUUUUCAGGGCCCUCCUGAAUAAUGGGAUUUAGCUUUUAAAUUCUUAUAGCUCUUUUGAUAACAUGAUUCGAUUAACACUCACAUAUGUGCCCAGAUACAAAACUGGGCCAGAAAAGUUUUUUUUUGUUUAUUUUGUUGUAAUCAGGCACCCACCUAGAGAACAAGGAAUACAAUUCAAGUUUUGGUAAUCAGGCUCCCACCUAGAUAACAGGGGAAUACAAUUCAAGUGUUGGUAAUCAUGCGCCCACCUGGAGAAUAAGGGAAUGCAGUUCAAGUUUUGGCAAUCAGGCGCCCACCUGGAGAACAAGGGAAUACAGUUCAAGUUUUGAUAAUCAGGCGCCCACCUAGAGAACAAGGAAAUACAGUUCAAGUUUCGGCAAUCAGGCACCCACCUGGAAAACAAGGGAACUCAUUUCAGAAUCCAAUUCGAGUUAGCAACAAUACAAGCUCUCCUUGAGAGUACGAGCCAGCAAUUCAAGAUGCACCGCAGAGCUACAAAGGAUUCAAGAUCAAGUUUUGAAGACAUAUGGAUAGGAACUUUGUAACUCAUAGCUGAUAGGCUUAGUUAGUUCUUUUAGAUGUUGAUGUAAUAACAGGACCACGGACCGGAACCUCCACGAAACGGCACCCUACUCGACUCUCCAACUCAUCCUUCCAUCAUUUUCUAGAACUACAUUGACAUGAUUGCUUUAUAGCCAACGAUAUGUAGGCAACCUCGAAAGCAAGAUUUGGUCAGAUCUUUCAAAAAUUCUUCCCAUGGAGUAUCCAAACGGGCAAAAAUCGCUCGUAUCCGCUCAUUUUAUCUUUGCCCGAAAACUCUUCUUAUUUUCGAGCAAAAAGGGGCAUCUGUGAGCAUGUGAUUUUUUCCAUAUGUAAAAUACUCCUACAAAUUAAAGAAAUAGAUUUUUCCCCAAUUGUUUGCAAUUUUCUAGGAUUUUUGUUUAUUGUUUGCAUUUGUGUGCAUGUUUACUUUUUAUUAAAAUCAUGAAAAAAUACCAAAAAUACCAUGCAUUGCAUUUAGAUUUUGUGUUCACAUUUUGGGAUUAAUUAAUUAAUUAAUUGCUUAAUUAAAAAUGAAAAUUACAAAAAAGGCUCAUUUUUACAUUUUUGCCUUUAAUUCUAGAUCAGUAGUUUUUCCCUUGUAAUUAGGAUUAAUUAAUUUUUAUAAAUCUUAUAAUUUGAUAAUUAGUUUGAUUUUACAACUUAGACCAAUUUAGGGUUUAAUUUAGGAUUUUUAUUAAUUAAAUAAACAGAAAAGAAAAAUAAAAGAAAAGGAUUAAAAAAAGAAGGAAAAGAAAGAAAACAUGGUUCUAAAUUCAAAUUGGGCUGACAUUUUAGCCCAAUUCUUACACCAAAUCCGCCCAAAUACAUCCCUUACCUAGCCCAAAACGCCUCAACCCGCCCAGCCAACCGGUUCGACCCGCCCCGCUUUCCCCAAAUAUAAGAUACAUAUUAUAAACAAAGACCCAACCCUAAAUUUUGCUCCCAAAUGGCACCCAGCACUAUUCAUCAUCUUCUUUACCCCAAAUCGGUCCCAACUCGCCUGAAACUCAGGCAAAUUCACUCACACACGGGCCCCAUCUCACCACGUCACCAAGAUUCUAACGGCUUCUGACAAAUUUCCUCUCCCAUGUGUUGGACGCGUUUGGGAAUUUCUGAUGGAUGAAUUCCGUAAAAUGGGAGUCGUGGAUUGGUUUUCGGAUCAAUCAUUUCCUUCCACCUGUCCGGAUUCGUUCUAAAAAGGAUUUUUUCGGAGUUCUUGAAGAAAAAAAGAGAAACUUCGAGAGAGGGGUAUACAUACCCAGGUCUGGUUUCAGGUUGAGGGGGUGGGAUUUUUUUAAGGCAUAGGUCAUUUGAGAAAAUUAGGAUUCUAGAAAAAGCUUCUCUUCUUCUCUUUUGUUCAUCUGCAUUUUUUUUAUUUAAUUCUAUUCACAAUAGAAAAAAUAAAAUAAAAUUGUUUCGUUUAGUUUGUUAUUAGUAUCUUUGUUCUCUUCAUCUUUAAAUUAAAAAAAUUCACCUUUAUUAUGGGUUUGGACUGAGUUCGAGAGCUGAGGUUUGUUCGAAGGCCACAGUUUGCGGCUCCGAGAUUAAUUUAUUGUUUUUGUACGUAUCAAUUUUUCGCAGAUCGAAGAAAGAUCAUUACAUGUUUAUUUCUUUCCUUCGCUACUUUUCUGGUGUGCAAAAUAUGAUGAAAUCUUAGAAAUAAAUGUUUGAGUUUGAGAUUUAAUAGAAGCGUUUAUUUGCG
rnacentral:lncRNA from 1 species